AGCGAACGCUGGCGGCAGGCUUAACACAUGCAAGUCGAACGGGCAUCUUCGGAUGUCAGUGGCAGACGGGUGCGUAACACGUGGGAACGUACCCUUCGGUUCGGAAUAACUCAGGGAAACUUGAGCUAAUACCGGAUACGCCCUUUUGGGGAAAGGAUUACUGCCGAAGGAUCGGCCCGCGUCUGAUUAGCUUGUUGGUGGGGUAACGGCCUACCAAGGCGACGAUCAGUAGCUGGUCUGAGAGGAUGAUCAGCCACACUGGGACUGAGACACGGCCCAGCCCCCGACGGGGGGCAGGAGGGGGGAAUAUUGGAAAAUGGGCGCAAGCCUGAUCCAGCCAUGCCGGGGGAGUGAUGAAGGCCUUAGGGUUGUAAAGCUCUUUUGCCCGGGAGGAAAAUGACGGUACCGGAAGAAUAAGCCCCGGCUAACUUCGU
rnacentral:rRNA from 1 species